rnacentral:rRNA from 1 species
UGGGGAAUAUUGCACAAUGGGCGAAAGCCUGAUGCAGCGACGCCGCGUGAGGGAUGACGGCCUUCGGGUUGUAAACCUCUUUCAGUAGGGACGAAGCGCAAGUGACGGUACCUGCAGAAGAAGCACCGGCUAACUACGUGCCAGCAGCCGCGGUAAUACGUAGGGUGCGAGCGUUGUCCGGAAUUACUGGGCGUAAAGAGCUCGUAGGCGGUUUGUCACGUCGUCUGUGAAAUCCUAGGGCUUAACCCUGGACGUGAAGGCGAUACGGGCUGACUUGAGUACGACAGGGGAGACUGGAAUUUCUGGUGUAGCGGUGGAAUGCACAGAUAUCAGGAAGAACACCGAUGGCGAAGGCAGGUCUCUGGGUAGUAACUGACGCUGAGGAUCGAAAGCAUGGGUAGCGAACAGG